GCCUAGCCCUAAACAAAGAUAGCCCCAAACCUCGCUAUUCGCCAGGGAACAACGAGCCCCAGCUUAAAACCCAAAGGACUUGGCGGUGCUUUAGACCCCCCUAGAGGAGCCUGUUCUGGAAUCGAUACCCCCCGUUCAACCUCACCCUCCCUUGUUUUUCCCGCCUAUAUACCGCCGUCGUCAGCUUACCCUGUAAAGGUUGAAUAGUAAGCAGAAUUGGCAAAGCCCAAAACGUCAGGUCAAGGUGUAGCGCACGGGAGGGGAAGAAAUGGGCUACAUUUGCUGAAGCAGUAAAUACGGAUUUUGCACUGAAAUAAGCAUCUGAAGGAGGAUUUAGCAGUAAGACGUGAAUAGAGAGCACUUCUGAAAACGGCCCUGAAGCGCGCACACACCGCCCGUCACUCUCCCCGAAUCACCUCAUAAAAUACUUAAUACCACAUCAAACAGAAAGGGGAGGCAAGUCGUAACAUGGUAAGUGUACCGGAAGGUGCACUUGGAAAACC
rnacentral:rRNA from 1 species